GGUUUGGUCUUUACUGCAGCAUGUAUAUACAUCCAGAAAAUACAGCCGAGCCGCACAAGUUGUAACAAACCUGCAGCAGACUUGUAGCAAUGCUGUUCCAACAACUUGUCAACAGGAUGUGUUCGCACUGCUUGUUCCCAGCUUGUUGACAAGUUGUCAACGGCUUGUUGACAACUUGCUACAAGGUUGUUGAGUUCAACAGACUUGUUACAAGUUGUUCCAACAACUUGUUAUCGUCCUGCAAUUCAACAACUUGUCAACAAGUUGUGAGUGACAAGCUUGUAGCAACUUGAUAAAAUAACAGAUUGUUACAACUUGUUGGCAAGCUUGCUACAAGCCUGUUGCGAACAUAUCUUGUUGACAAGUUGUGAGAUUUUUA